AUGACAUGUAGGAGCAAUCUCAUUCUCUUAAUGUCUUACAGAACAAGUUUCCAGGAGCUUCUAAGGGCUCCAGAUUACAAGCAAGAGUUUGUAUCUCAAUGGCAAGCCGAUUUCAACUCUCUUCCUGAUGACCUGUGGGAUGAUGAGGAAACAAAGGCUGAGUUACACCAAAGACUGAAUGAUCUGCGCGAGCGCCUGUGGGACAUUUGUGAUGCCAGGAAGGAAAGGGCAGAGCAAGAGCGGCUGGAUAUCAUUAAGGAGCGCUGGUUUCAAGACUCUCUCCGAAUAACGACGACCCACUUCUCUUCGCUCAUGCAGGCAGAACUGAACUGUUUCCAGGAUACAAAAAGAUUCCUUCAAGAUUAUUACAGGGCAAUGGAAUGCAAAAGCCCUAUAGAGGAUAAUAAGAAAUUUACUCGAGUCACAUUGGUUCAAAUGGAUGCUAAAGAUGUUUCAGAAACCCAGCUUAGAUUUCCUCCUUCAGUUCCUCGAAUAUCCAUUUCUCCAGAAACAGCCAUGCCCAAACCAAAAGUAAAAGCAAUAAUGAAAAACAAGAUCGAUUCCUCACUAGAAAAUAUAGUGUCAAACUUUGAGGCAAAUGAGAACUUAGUCAUGGACACCUGGCAGCAGGCUUCCUCAGCAGUAUCACACAUGGUGGCUGCUGAAAUUCAUCAGAGACUCAUGGAAGAAGAAAAAGGAAACCAGCCAGCAGACUCAAAAGAAAAAUCUCCCCAGAUGGGUGCAAAUAAAAAAGUCAAGAAGGAAAAGGAGGCAACUAAGAAAAAAGAGGCAGACAAAAAAGCAAAAGACAAAUCACCACCUAUAGAAGAAGCCACUUCUGUGAUAGUGACAGCGGAGGAGAUGGCCAAAAUAGAAAGAAAAAAUGAACUGAGCCUCAAAAUAAAGGAAGAACACAUUGCUGCCUUGCAAUUUGAAGAGAAAGCUACACAGUUUCGACUUGAACUGAUAAAGGCAAAAGCAUUGACUGUCCUUGAAGAUGCAGUAAUACAAGUGAUUGAUGUCUAUAAAAUCAUGGAAAAAUGGCUUGGUGAGAGGUAUUUGAAUGAAAUGGCCAGUAUAGAAAAAUUAACUGAAGUAGCUCGCUAUCACAUUGAAACAGCUACAAAAAUUCAGAAGGAGCUUUAUUUAGGCCAAGAAGACUUCUUCAUUAAUGACGAUAUAAAAGUCUUCCCAGACCCUCCUCCACCAACUCGUCCUCUGCCUGUAGAAAAGGAAGAAAAUGGCACCCUGACCAUUGAACAGCUUGGCAAUCUUGGAGAUCAGUUCUUGGACAUAGCCCCUAAAGGCUUAGUAAGAAAUAAAACGUUCACUGACAUUUUGCUUGAUCUGAUAACCCUGAACCUUGGAACAAAUAGCCUUCCUAGUAGUUGGAUGCAUCUCUCUCAGUCUGAAUUGCAAGAGUUAACAUCUUUAUUAGUGGUAAACUCUGAGUUCGUGGACUGCUGGAAGUUCCUCCUAGUGGCAGCGAUGCCUUGGCCCAUCCCCCUGGAGGAGGAGCUCCUGGAGACCCUGCAGAGGUUCAAGGCUGUGGAUGAGGCACAAACGGGCAACAUCAAUUUUGAGCAGUAUAUGCAGGCUGGUCUGUGGUUUUCGGGAGAUGAAGAGAUGAAAAUUCCAGAAAAUCCCCUUGAGCCCUUGCCAUUUAAUAGGCAGGAACAUCUUAUAGAGUUCUUCUUCAUGCUAUUUGCUGAUUGUGAGAAGGAUCCACCCCAGCUUGACUACACUCAGAUGCUGCUGUAUUUUGCAUGCCACCCAGACAUGGUGGAAGGGAUCUAUAGGGCUCUCAGUGUGGCUGUUGGAACUCAUAUCUUCAGACGACUUAAAACACCUCUGCUGGCUGCAGGAAAGACUUCCUUCUCUCCUGGCAUGAGUCCCAUUGAAGAAUUUCCUAAACUUGAGGACAAGGAUGGAAGAGAGGAAAGAGAACUGAAAGAGGAGAGCGAUGAAGGGGAACAAAAGGAAAAAGAAAAGGCAAACACUGAAAAGAUUUCCAUGGAAACACUACUUACAGUAUUCCGAGGGGGAAAUGAAGCACAAGACACUAACAGAUUUGUCAGUCACCUAAAGAUAGAGAACAUUUAUGCAGAGAACUUCACAAAGACAUUUCAGGACCUAGGUGUCAAGAACAUGGAGCUGAUUGAAAUUGCUCUUCUUUUGAAACAUCCUUUUAUUCAAGAACUGAUUGCAAAUUAUUUAGACUAUAAAAUUCCUUGUCUUCUACUUGGAAAGAAAGAAGAUUUUCACUGAUGCAGGGCCAUGAAGAUGAAGGGUCCAAAUUAAAGUCCCAGGAACCCCGAGGUUAUUAAGAAGAUUCUCCAAAGGAAUGGACAUGGACAAAGAAGUGAUGAGGAAAGAUCACCUUCAAGAUUUACAGAGGAAAAAAAAUGAAGACAAAAAAGUGAUUUUUAUAAUUUGGCAAUGAACCUUCCAAAUAUCAAAUGUGAUUAUGGUGUUUGUCAUGUAUAUUACCAUUGUAAAUGUAGAAAGGGGCCCUAACUCAAAUAAAAAUUAUUAUAUCAUGAACCUUACAGAAGAGAGUAAAUAUCCAAGCAUGCA
rnacentral:lncRNA from 1 species